GGGACGGGGCCUGCAGGCAGAAGUGGGGCUGACAGGGCAGAGGGUUGCGCCCCCUCACCACCCCUUCUGCCUGCAGCGGUGGGCU